rnacentral:rRNA from 1 species
UCCCUCAAGCCAACGCCACUAACCAGCGUGAGAAAUCACCCUGGGGCCGUGUUAACACCACGGGUAUAGUUAUAGCGCGUUGGAUACGUGGGAAAUCCGCAGCGAAACCCUAAGGCGAGAGCUAUGGGUGACGUUCACAGACUAAGUGGUYGUGGGUGGGCUGCCGAAGCCCAUCUCAGAUAUAGUCGAGUCCCUGGAGAGACCCAGAGAGUCACUGUUCCGUAGGUGAACCUGCGGAAGGAUCAUUA